AUCCAGGGACUUAGCAGUAGCUUCGUAAUUUAUGGCAAAUGGGGAUGAAGCUAGGUCACCUCCAAGCAGGCAUUAGAAUGAAAAGGAAGCUCUGAGUGGACACCAGGGAUUGUGAGAAGCAGGGACACACCCCACCCCACUCCAG
rnacentral:lncRNA from 1 species